AUUCAGUGGCGAACGGGUGAGUAACGCGUGGAUGAUCUACCUAUGAGAUGGGGAUAACUAUUAGAAAUAGUAGCUAAUACCGAAUAAGGUCAGUUAAUUUGUUAAUUGAUGAAAGGAAGCCUUUAAAGCUUCGCUUGUAGAUGAGUCUGCGUCUUAUUAGCUAGUUGGUAGGGUAAAUGCCUACCAAGGCAAUGAUAAGUAACCGGCCUGAGAGGGUGAACGGUCACACUGGAACUGAGAUACGGUCCAGACUCCUACGGGAGGCAGCAGCUAAGAAUCUUCCGCAAUGGGCGAAAGCCUGACGGAGCGACACUGCGUGAAUGAAGAAGGUCGAAAGAUUGUAAAAUUCUUUUAUAAAUGAGGAAUAAGCUUUGUAGGAAAUGACAAAGUGAUGACGUUAAUUUAUGAAUAAGCCCCGGCUAAUUACGUGCCAGCAGCCGCGGUAAUACGUAAGGGGCGGGCGUUGUA
rnacentral:rRNA from 1 species